ensembl:lncRNA
AAAAAAAGGAGUGUGCUGCAUUUUGUGGUGCAAGAUGUUCUGGGCACUGCUGCUAACAAUGCCCGGAGGCUUCCUUUUUGAUGGGGAGAGGCUUAGCAAGGACUUCUUCCAUGAAAGGGGUUCAUCAUCUAUUUCCUUUUCAUUGACCUUUCCUACUACUGCUUGAGAAAUUAAUGUUUCUUGCUGUAGGGAAUACACAUGCACCCUGCACUUGUAUCUGCACAAAGAAUCUUCUAAGCAUCUCUGUACGUGUUUCUUUUUGGCACUGGGAUGGAGCUGUGUGGAAGACAGACUUGGAUGAACCUUCAGUCAGGUGCAGGGAUGCGUAAUGCUCAUCUAAGAUGUCACGCUGACAGCAGCAGUAGAGAGGCAAAUUUCAUAGCUUUUUUUUUUUUUCAUGCUUUUUUUUUUUCUUCUUUUGUUUCAGUGAUAACCAUGGAAGCAUGGAAGCGUUACCCAGACAGACUGAGCAUUUGUCACCUGGGCAUUCUACAGAUGACAUAGGCAGUGGAAGUCAGCAUUGGAAGCAUGCGUGAGACCCCUGCAAAAGAAUGAUGAGUGUUACCCUGGCGGCCUCCUUUGGCAAUCUCAGGUCUCUGUAAGCUCUUAAGCUGUGUCGUAAGUCCUCCCGUGGUGCUGACUCAGCUCUCCCUGUCUUUGGUGUAGGAGAGCUGGUCUUCAGCUCCUUCCUGUUUCCUGCCUAUCUGCUCCCUGCUUUGCCCAUGGCCCAGUGAGCCUUUUAUUCUUCACCCCCGGACUUGCACGUGUGGAUAACAGCAUCUGCUUAUGUACGCUUCUUUUCUGCUUGUGGUGUCAGGCUGAGCGACGGCUCCCAGCCGAGCUUGUGCUUAGCGAGACACGGAGUAGCUGGAGAUGGAGUUCUCUGUGUCACUAAAGCAUGAGCUUGAUGGCUGCCGUGAGACAAAGCGAGAGAGUUUGUGUGUUUGAUUUCUGUGUUGGGCUGAGCGGGUAGAGCAGGGCAAGGGGGCUGAUUUGGACGUGCUGCUUUCCAAAUACGGUGCUGUUUGUGUGGCAAGUGCUUCUGGCAUUCCAAAUUCUGUCAGAUGUCACUGAAUUCCUUGGAAUCUGCUGAGUUGACUUGUGCAGGUUUCAUUCUGGAGCUGAACCCUUCCUGGCCGCUUCUGUGCAUAGCCAUGGCUGUUGCUUCUUUCUUGCCUCCUUUCUUUGUUGUGUUUGGCACUGUGCAAGCCGUGAAUUGCCAGGGAGCAGCUGAAAGUGCUCUGGAGUUGUGGGGGGCAAACUGCCAAGAAACAAGGUGCAGCUUCAAAGCCCCGAAGUUUGGAGAGAUGAGAGAUGCACAGCGCUCUGCCUGGUGCAGGACAUGAUGUGCUCUGCAAGGCGCUUUCCACAAAGCCCUCACGUCCUUUCUCAAACUGCAUCCAAAGCAACCCAGUGCCCUGUGCUUGUUGUACCCGGAGGUAUCGGUGCCAGGAGUUGCUGCUGUGUUUGCAAUGCCAUUGUGUCGGCAGGGUGACGUUAAUGGGCUGCAAUGCCCUCAGUCAUUCAAAGCAUCCUUGCAGAUGUUCCUA